AAGAAGGGGGGUGCAAGCCUGACGUAGUUAUUUAUAGCACGAUCAUUCACAGUCUUUGCAAGGAUACUUUAAUUGUUGAUGCAUUGAACCUCUUCUCCGAAAUGACAAGUAAAGGAAUUGCUCAAGAUGUCAUUACUUAUAACUGUUUGAUUCAUGGAGUUUGCAAAUUAGGGGAGUGGAAAGAAUCUAUAAGAUUGUUGAAUGAAAUGGUGAGUAAAGGUAUAUUUCCAAAUGUGCGCACCUUCAAUGUUUUGAUUGAUACAGUUUGUAAAGAGGGAAUGAUCCAAAAAGCAAGGAGCGUGGUCGAAAUGAUGAUUCAAAGAGAUAUUGAACCUGAUACAGUUACUUAACGUACACUUAUGGACGGUUACUGUUUGCUCGGAGAAAUGGGUCAGGCGAAAAAAGUUUUUGAACUAAUGCUUAGCAAAGGAUCCAUGAUUGAUGUUCGUAGCUAUAACAUAUUGAUAAAUGGUUAUUAGCCACAGCUCGUAUUCAUUCAGUAAUUCUACCCCUUCUUCAUUCUUGGACCUCGUUUCUUAAUAUUGUGACUCUUCCAUGCUGUGUCUCAGGAACCUUUUCAAUACGGUCCGGAUUGCUAGCUUCCGUUGUAAGCAUAAAAUGAUUGAUGACGCCCGAAUGCUUUUUCUGGAAAUGUCUUGUAGGGGAGUGGUUCCAAAUACAAUUACUUAUAACACUCUUAUGGAUGGGUUUUGCAAGAUGGGGAGAACACAAGAUGCAGAGACUUUGUUCUCUCAAAUGCAAGCUUGUGGCCAACUUCCAAAUGUUCGAACUUAUAAUAUUACUCGAUGGCCUGUUUGAAAACCAACAAUUUCCCAAAGCAGUGCAAUUGCUAAACGAGAUGGAGGGAAAAAAGUUGAACUUUGAUAUCAUAACGUAUGGUAUUCUCAUUAAAGGUUUGUGCAAAGAUGGAAAAGUUGAAUAUGCAUGGGAAGUCUUUCGCAGUUCAUCAUCAAAAGGAUUUCAGCAUAAUGCUAGGACAUAUACUAUAAUGAUUAGUGGAUUUUGUAACGCGGGGCUAACAAGUGAAGCAGAAAACUUGCUUAGGAAAAUGAAAAGGAAAGGUUGUUCUCCAAAUGGUUGCACGUACAACACAAUUAUUCGCGGGUUUAUCAAUAACUGCAAAACAUCAAGGGCAAUGAGACUUAUUAAAGAAAUGGUGGAAAGGGGUUUUUCUGCAGAUGCAUGGACUACAGAAUUGAUAGUUGAAACAGAUCCCACUUUGUUGGCAUUGAUAGAAAGAGCAGUGUGAAGUUCAUUUGUAUUUUUGAUAGCCGAAACAGAUCCUUAUGACCAUCACAAUGCAGUUUGGAACUGUUGCACUUUUGACAACUUUCGGUGGUUCCUUCCCUCGAAUGCUGCAUUGGAGCAAGUUCUUCCACUGACAAGUCCAGUUCAGGUAGCCAUUCGUCAUGCUCCGCUAGUGAUGUAUGAUAUGUGUUAUUUAUUUAAUCUAUCAAAUGACAGAGCAACUUUUAUGUUACUCUUUUAAGAGUGAUAUCUGUUGGAGAAGCAAAGUAUUUGGACUGAUAUGAUCAGAUGAAAUGCAAUACUGGAUUUAUGGCUUGGUUUAAUUUCUGUUUAAUUUAGCUCUUAUUGUUUGUUUUUGGUAAUAAAUAUGAAUCUGAUGGAAGAAGCAAUGGAGGAAAUGAUAGCUAUAGGAGGAGGACUCGAUCCAUUUCUCAAAAUUCUGCAGUUCCUCUAACACCCAAUUGAAAAGGUCAAGUUUACCACACUAAAACUAAAGUUCAAACAAACUUCAAUACAAAAUGCCUUAUGAGAUUAGUAAUACAACCUGAAAAAAUAUAUGGUUCAUGCAAUUCAACAAAAAGGUUUUGGUGCUUCAACUUUUAAGUCAAUAUUUUGCAUCGUUCAACCCUUUCUCUUUCCCUUUCCUUUUGAACACUUACUCUUCGAAGGUUAAGAGGCAUUUGAACUUGUGAACGAGCUUGAGAAGAUGAUACUUGGGAAGACCUUGGACCUUAUGAAAUUGAAUUUGAUGGAUGAGGAGUCACUGAACCUUGUGAACUAGAAGCUUGAGAUGCCUUGGAGCUUGUUGAUGUGGUUAUGGGUUAAGAGUAAGAGAUGCGAUACUUGAAUUCAAAAUGGCCACCUCUACAUAAUACAAAUACAUAAGCAAUAUAAAUUACAUUAGUUAUUAUAAACUUUAAAAGGCCUACAAAAGCAAUAAAACACAUUGAAAUAACAAAACAAAGAAAACCUACAAUAUAAAUUACCUAAUAAUGGUAUUAAAUUAAAUAUGUAUUUAAUUUUUGUUGUAUGGUUCAGUCUCGGUGAGGAUUUAGAUGGUCAAAACCGAAACAAAAUCGUUUUUCAUAUGACUGUUCACACAUCCAUUUUUAUCUCUACACAUCAUUGUUGAUUUUUGUUAAUUGAUCUUUCUCAAUCAAUCGAUUUGACGAUCGAAAAUUGAGAGGAGUGUGAACAUACCACCUUUUCAUAUUGCCGUUUAGUUUUAAACCAAAAUCGUUUCAAAAUUGCAAAAACAGAAUUGUCCAGUGCGGUUCAAUUUAAUUUGUGUUUCGGUUUCAGCUUUUAGUUCUAAGUGCCCAGCCCUUACUCUAAACUGGCAGACGACUAAUAGACUCCUUCCAUAUAAUAAUCAAGUCAUUGAAAAAAACGUGCAAUCAAGAACUCAAAUCAGAAUUCUCUUUAAGUUUUGAAUCUCAAUAUUUCCUCUCUCGCAGCAAAUGCAUUCGAUAUAAUUGCACUAUGUUUUUCUGAUGCACUGUGCGACUGUUUGUGUGUGUUGUAGCUCUGAGAAGGCUUGGGGUGAAGGGCGUGGAGAUAAGGAAGCCAGAGCAGCUUGAAACCGUGGCCUCCCUUAUAAUCCCUGGAGGGGAGAGCACCACCAUGGCUAAGCUCGCUGAGUACCACAACCUGGUCUCUCUCUCUCUCUCUCUCUCAGCUUCUGGGUUUGUUUUGAUUUGUUCCUUUGUUUGAUAUUGGUUUAUUUUGUUGACAGUUUCCUGCUCUGCGUGAGUUUGUUAAAAUGGGGAAGCCUGUUUGGGGGACUUGUGCAGGUCUUAUUUUCUUAGCAAACAAAGCUACAGGCACGUUCAUGUUCCUUCUUUCUUUCGUUGCUGUUAUGAAUCCUUUAAGUUAUUGAUAUGUUCAAUUGUUUUUAUAAAUGUGAUGAGAGGAGUGGCAUGAUUUUCACUUUUCAGGACAGAAAAUAGGAGGACAGGAACUUGUUGGCGGCCUAGAUUGCACCGUCCACAGAAACUUCUUUGGCAGUCAGGUAAUGCACUCACUUCUCUAUUCUCAAGUUCACGUGAUUUCGAUAUUCAAUGUGGUAAUUGUUUUGCUUUUGGUAAACCAAAAACCUGCAGAUUCAGAGCUUUGAGGCUGAACUUGCAGUACCAGAGCUUGCUUCUACGGAAGGUGGUCCUCAAGUAUUUCGUGGAGUUUUCAUCCGUGCUCCCGCUAUCCUUGAUGUAGGACCAGAAGUUGAAGUUCUGGCUGGUUAUCCUGUUCCAUCUAAUAAGGUGGUAGAUUCAAAUUCUGCGGUUGAAGCUCAAAAGGUUUGUGGUUUUUCUUCUGUCCAUAAAUUUUUUACUGGUUAUACUGUUAUGUUUUAAUGCAGUUGAAAAGAAGUUUCAUUUUAAUCAUUCGAAUAAAUGUUGAGGAUAUUACCUUUCUCUUGUGCAGUAAGUAGUUAAAUAUCAAUUUACCAUAGGCUAAACCCCAAAAACUCCCCCACCAAGACCAAGGCUGUUUUGCCUUGCGAAAGUCACUAAUCUUGAGGAUGCCCUCAAUGUGUUGGACGAAAUGUUUCAAACGUGUCCUCUGCCUUCCGUUGUCCUCUGCCUUCCGUUGUCCUCAAUGUGUUGCGAAAGUCACUAAUCUUGCAAACCUAACCUAAUUAUUUUUAGUCUUUGUAAGGAUACUUUAAUUAUUGAUGCACUGAACCUCUUUGAUUCACGGAGUUUGCAAAUAAGGUGGGAGUGGAAAGAAUCUACAGGAUUGUCGAAUGAAAUGGUGAGCAAAAAUACCUCUCCAAAUGUGCUUACUUUCAAUAUCCUGGUUGACAACCUUUGUAAGGAGGGGUUGGUCAAGGAAGAAAAAAACGUGGUCAAAAUGAUUACUCGAAGAGAUAUUGAACCUAAUACAGUUACUUAUCGUACUCUUAGGCUAUUUCCAACCCAACAUUAUAAUUUGUCAAACUUCUGUACUUUUUUGCUAAUAAUUUUGGAUUUUGGAUUUUUUUUAUUAAUCUAUCUUGUUUUAUUUUUAGGAACAUUUUGAUGUAAAAAAAAAUUCAUAUUCUGAAUAAAAAGUGUGGAGAUAUUUUUAGUUGGAUGGGUAUUUUGAAGGUAAUUUUAUUUGAACCCAUAUAAUCUCUUUCUACACCCAACUUACUCUUUUCACCCGUAUUAACUUUAAUUAAACCAUCAAUAUCUCUUUAAACCAUAUUUACUACCUAAAUUACCCUCACAAACCUAAUUCAACUGGUAGAUUUAUCUGUACACUCAUUUAGAAAUAAAAACCCAAAAUUUGCAAAGAGAAGUGCAUUUCAAGUUAGGACUACGAAAAAAGUGGACAAAUGAUUAAUCCAAACAAUAUGAUCUCCUUGCAAUCAUAUUGCAAAAGAGCUUGUCACACUAGUUUAGGGGUUUUUUUGUUUGUUCCAAAUGGUAUGAAUCUGAAUUCUAAAUGCCAUUGUUUAUUUAUUCUUAUUUUUCUUCCCGCUUUGGUUUAAGUUGAAGUCCUCUCUCUUGUUGUGACUAGUGGCGAAGCCACGUGAGGGUGAGGAGUGGCAGCCGCCACUCCCCUCGUUAGAAAACACGACUGGAGCUUUGGUUCAGCCUUUUCUCUCGCCAAAAAACCCGACUAGUUCAGCCCCAGAGCUUGGAGGAGGAGACGAGGUGGGGUCGGCGAGAAGAGACUAGAAAAAAAGACGAGAGUGGGGAUGUAGGACGACAGAGGUUGGAGGAGGUAAGGGUUGGUCAGCCAUGUCUGGUGGGGUUUAUGAGAGGAAGAAGAAUGUUGUUUGGUUAUUAGGUUAUGGGAGCAAGUAGGAUGUUUGGUUAUCAAAAUAGUAGGAGCUUGGAGCAAUCAAAUAGACAAGUGUAACAUUUCUAUUAAGCUAUAUAAUGGUCAAUAAAAAUGGUUUAUUGACAUAUCAGUAGGCAAGAAUUAUCCAUUUGGUUAUCAGGAUAGCAAGAAUUUAGGUGUGAGUUUUAAAGACAGGUGUUGGACAAUUAUUGAGCCACCUAAGUCAGUAAAAAUUGGGUACUGACACCUUACCCCAGUAUUAUCAUGUUGACUGUUUGUGUACCUUUUUUUCUCUGUUAAAAUACUAUGCUGAGUUUGCUGACCACCACUUCUCUUUCAGUCUUUAUCUUUCUGCCCCACUUGUUUGUUUACCCAUCCCCCCCCAUUUUUUCUUUUCUGACCCCACUUUUUUUGUGGGUUAUUAACCCAUUUCUCUCUUUUUUUUUUCUUUUUUUUUAAAAUUCUUGUAUGUAUUUUUAUUUUAUCUUUUAAGACUCCCACCGUGUUUAUCUUAAAUUCUCACAUUAUUUAUAAAAUAUUGUAUUACUUUUUAAAAACAAUGUAAAUAUUGUUUAAUGCUUAUUUUAUGAUAAUUUAAAUCCAUCUAGGCUCGUACCUAGAUCUCACCUAGGCACCUAGCUGCUAGAUUCCAGUCCACUGUUUGAUUAGCGCCUAACAUUUUUUAGGAUUUAAUACUAGCCAAUUUAAGCUUCUUACAUUGGCUUUGAUAUUAUUGCUUACAACUGCUUUGGUGGAGAGACUAUUUUCUAGUAUGAAUAUUGAUUCAAAACUUUGCACUAUCUAAUGUGAAAGCAACUGCUUCAAUUGAACAUUACACUCUUUUGAAUUUUGCCCCGGCAAAUCCUGACAUCGCCACUGGUUGUGACUAUCUAUCAAUUAAGUGCAGGAUUUAACCGACUAUUUUUAGGGAUGAAUAUUUAUCUUUAGGAUUUAUUUUGUUGGAUGAAAUUUCAUAUCUUUUAGUUUGAUUUACCGCAUGCAUGCAUGGAUGAAAAUAAAGGUAGGAUGAUAUAUGUUUGUGAUGGUCAGUUGGAUCAAAGAGAUAAUUAUUCUCUUCAAAGCUCCAACUGUCCCAAGAUUUCCAAGCCCUCGACAAUUUCAACUUAAACGAUUCAUGGUCGUUCUGCUUGAUAUGUCAUAGGAAAUGUACUAGUACAAGUCCAUGAGGAGACAAGGGAACGAGCCAUAGAAUCCUCUUCUGCAUGUCAUUUGAUUUGUUUGACCUCAACACUAUGGCAUCUCCUCUGGACUAUCUCAGCACUAUGGCAUCUCCCAUUGCUGUUGUUGUUGAUUUGUUUGUGCUUUGGUGUUUGUUUGGGUUUAUUGAUAAAUUUUAGUUGUAUUGUUAAAUUUAUCUUGUAUUUGAUGGUAAUUAUGUACUAGGGUAAAAAAGAAAAUUAACAUUUAAAGUUUAAGUUGGGUGUAAAAAGAGGUUAUAUGAGUUCAAAUAAAAUUUCCUCCAAGGAGUUUUGGUGUUGGAUUCUUUUUGGAUCAAUUAAUUAUGAUCUCAUUUUUAUCGAAAAAAUGAUUAAAUUAGAUUUGAGAAGUUGGAUUUAAAAAAAUAAUCGUACAAUGGUAAAAAAAUCUAGGCACACUAUAAAAACCUGCUGGAGUGGACUGUAGUUGAGCGCGACACACUGGAUCAGAACCCAGGAACGCACUCCAUCCAUUGGCUCCUAAACGGCGCACAAUAAAAACCUGUCGUAGAAAGGCUGCUUGCUUUGCGCUCGCCCGCAAACAAUCUCUCCACGCUGCUGCAUCCAAUGCAGGUGCUGCAAGCUGGGGCUCGGCCAUCGGCCCAAUUCCUUCCCUCAUCCAUCCGGGGCGAGGGGAUAGCAGACCUAAAUUCCCACCCCUAAACCUAAGGUCCCAUUUUCUCACCCCAAAAAUACAUUCCGUAGAGAUGUUUUUCAACCUCUUGGAGAUAGCUUUAUGUAUGGUUACUGUUUGGUAAUCGUUGCUCAGUCGGCCCGAUCUGAAGAAGAUGAUGCGGUGGGCAACAACUGCUGCUCGUUAUGGCAGCCGCAGACUCGGAGCCAGAGGUAUGCCGUUUUCUCUUGACUCAUCUGUAGUUGUUUUUGUAAACAGUUACUUGGGUUUGUUUCAUUCUAAUCUUGAGGAUGCCUUCAAUGUGUUCGACGAAGUGCUUCAAAGGCGUCAUCUGCCUUCUGUUGUCCGCUUCAAUCAAAUAUUGGGUCAAGUUGCGAGAUUGAAACAUUAUUCCACGGUCAUCUCGUUGAAUAACCAAAUGGGCAUGUCAGGAAUUCGUCCUGAUGUUUAUACUCUGAACAUUAUCAUUAAUUGCUGCUGUCAUCUCAACCAAAUGGGGUUUGGUUUGUCUAUCUUAGGAAAAUUCUUCAAAUUAAGUUUUGAACCUCAUGUCACGACCUUCAACACUCUAAUCAACGGCUUUCUUCUCGAGGAUAGAAAGGCUGAUGCUGUUGGGAUUCUGAAUAAAAUAAUGGAAAGUGGUAACUGGAAGCCUACUGCGGUUACUUUUGCCAUACUAGUAAAAGGACUUUGCAUGAAAGGUAACAACAUUGGAGCUAUCCAAUUGCUUAAUAAGAUGGAAGAAGGAGAUUGCAAGCCUAACAUGGUUAUUUAUAGCACAAUCAUUGAUAGUCUUUGCAAGGAUACUUUAAUUGUUGAUGCAUUAAACCUCUUCUCCAAAAUGACAAGUAAAGGAAUUGCCCCAGAUGUCAUUACUUAUACCUGUUUGAUUCAUGGAGUUUGCAAAUUAGGGGAGUGGAAAGAAUCUAUAAGAUUGUUGAAUGAAAUGGUGAGGUAAAGGUAUCUUUCCAAAUGUGCGCACCUUCAAUGUCUUGAUUGAUACAAUUUGUAAAGAGGGAAUGAUCCAAAAAGCAAGGAGCGUGGUCGAAAUAAUGAUUCAAAGAGAUAUUGAACCUGAUACAGUUACUUACCGUACACUUAUGGACGGUUACUGUUUGCUCGGAGAAAUGGGUCAGGCGAAAAAAGUUUUUGAACUAAUGCUUAGCAAAUGAUCCAUGAUUGAUGUUCGUAGCUAUAACAUAUUGAUAAAUGGUUAUUGUAAGCAUAAAAUGAUUGAUGACGCCCGAAUGCUUUUUCUGGAAAUGUCUCAUAGGGGGGUGUUUCCAGAUACAGUUACUUAUAACACUCUUAUGGAUGGGUUUUGCAAGAUGAGGAGAAUACAAGAUGCAGAGACUUUGUUCUCUCAAAUGCAAGCUUGUGGCCAACUUCCAGAUGUUCAAACUUAUAAUAUUUUACUCGGUGGCCUGUUUGAAAACCAACAAUUUCCCAAAGCAGUGCAAUUGCUAAGCGAGAUGGAGGGAAAAAAGUUGAACUUUGAUAUCGUAACGUACCGUAUUCUUCUUGAAAGUUUGUGCAAAUAUGGAAAAGUUGAGUAUGCAUAGGAAGUCUUUCGCAGUUUAUCAUCAAAAGGAUUUCAACGUAAUGCCAGGACAUAUACUAUAAUGAUUAGUGGAUUUUGUAACGCGGGGCUAAGAAGUGAAGCAGAAAACUUGCUUAGGGAAAUGAAAGAGAAGGGUUGUUCUCCAAAUGGUUGCACGUACAACAUAAUUAUCCGCGGGUUUAUCAAUAGCAAUGAGACAUCAAGGGCGAUGAGACUGAUUAAAGAAACGGUGGAAAGAGGUUUUUCUGCAGAUGCAUGGACUACAGAAUUGAUAGUUGAAACAGAUCCCGUUUUGUUGGCUUUGAUAGAAAGAGCAGUGUGAAGUUCAUUUGUAUUUUUGAUAGAUGAAACGGAUCCUUAUGACCAGCACAAUGCAGUUUGAAACUGUUGCACUUUUGACAACUUUCGGUUGUUCCUUCAAUGCUGCAUUGGAGCAAGUUCUUCCACAGACGAGUCCAGUUCAGGUAGCCAUUCGUUUAUGCUCCGCCUAGUGACGUAUUAUAUGUGUUAUUUAUUUAAUCUAUCAAUUGACAGAGCAACUUUUAUGUUACUCUUUUAAGAUUGUGAUAUCCAUUGGAGAAGCAGAGUAAUUGGACUGAUAUGAUCAGAUGAAAUGCAAUACUGCAUUCAUGGCGUGGUUUAAUUUCUGUUUAAUUAGCUUUCAUAGUUUAUUUUUGGUUAUAGGAUAUGAAUCUGAUGGAGAAGCAAUGGAGGAAAUGAUAGCCACAUCUGAUCAAAAGAUGUAUCCAAAUUCCUUCACGAAAGGAAGCGUUUGUAAUCGACCAAGUGAUGUCAAACGCGAUUAAAAGGAGAUUACACGAUUUCCAUGUUUGCUUAUACAUUUUUGUAUGUUAUGUGCACCAAAUAUUGAAAGAGGAGAAGGUGUGGACAGUAGCCACAACUCAUUUGGUCUCUCAGGCAUCAACUAUCUUCAGCAUUCUUGAAAAUAAGAGAAAUCUGAGGCUUCAUUUCAACUGCAAACUGUGGUAUCUGUUGUUCAAUCCCUACUAGCCCAGCCAAACACAGUGGAAAUAAAUUGAGUUCACCUUCUAAGCGCUGCACGGGAUUUGCAGAAAACUUUUUGUACCCCCUCUUUUGCCCUCAAGACCAAGUUUUCUUUAACCCCAACUAUCCACAGCGUCCGUUGACACUGCUCGAGUACCAUAUUGUGCCAUUCAAGAUGGACAAAGAUGCCAUGGAGGCGUAUUUGCUUCACGGUUCCAAGGUUGACACUCUUCUGCCCGACCAUCCUGUCGUUGUUACUUCCCUGCCUGCCGGCACUAGAGGAUGCACUUCUCUUAACCAAGUCAAAGUCACUAAGUGGGAUGUCUACAACAACGGACGACUGAUUGUACAUGGGUUAAAGGACUUCUUCGAUCCAAUUGUCCAAACCCUAAGGUAUCUGUAAUAUGACGUGAUGAAUGUGGAAGAGGAUUCUUAUCAAGGAUUUUCUGCGUGGCCAGAUGCAGUUGGGAUUAUUAGUUGGUUUCUCUUUCGAGCACUGCUGGCUGGUUUCACCUCUUCUUCAUUUAUUUCUUGUAAUAAGCCAUAUGAUGAUGGAGAAUAUGAAUCUCUGCCACUUAGUACUAUGGUCUAGAGACACUUAUCUUUUAUUUGUAUGUCAAGAGUUUUAGGUUCAAACAUCGUGAAUGACAAGUUUGAUGCCAAUAUCUCUCCUCCACGAUAACACAAAAUGCUAAUUAACAAACUAGGAAAUCGACGGAGUAAUAGCAUAAAACAUAUUAGCUGCCCUAGUUUUGAGAUCGACAGAAGUUCGAAAGCGCCAUUUUAAUGGAACUCCGGCAAUUUUCCCGCUCAAUGAACUAAGGUUAUGACGAACACAAAAGAGACGGAACAAAGAAAAUGUGGAAGGUUCCGGGUUUGAUGCUCUGAGCUGGUGAGUCUGUUUGACUAUGGUCACAGGCAGGAUGAAAUUCCCCAUAGCCUCUCCGGUCUCGAAAUGAGUAGAUAACUGUGACUUGCCACUAGUUGUUCCUCUUUUGAAAAAAGAAAAAGGAAAAGCAAGACUAAUUUAAUCACGCACUCAGUAACCUGUGAGAGAGUGAAGGAAAGUUUAGGCCUUUGGAGAUGGGGAGAGUUGUUGAAAUUUGAUCUCCGGAUCCUUUCCUCCUAAUCCACCAAGUCCUGCGAUCCGGGCUAUUGAAAUUUGAUCCAACGGUCACGAACAGGGGUCCACUUUAAAGUUAUAAUAACUUUAGCCGUUGGAUCAAAUUUUAACGGUCCGGAUCUCCAAACUUAGUAGAUUAGGAGGAAGGGAUCCGGAGAGGAUCCCUUUCCCACAAUCUAGUCGUAGAAAGGCUGCUUGCUUUGCGCUCGCCCGCAGACAAUCUCUCUACGCUGCUUUAUCUAAUGCGCGAAGCCCACCUUCGUCUAGUCUGCACGUGCAGGUGCUGCAAGCUGGGGGCUUCGGCCUAGGGGUGGGUUCAAAAAAUCGAAAACCAAACCGAACCGAAACCGAAAAAAUCGAACCGAACGAAAAAACUGAACCGAAUUCUUUUGGUUCGGUUCGAUUUUAGUGAUCUAGAAACCGAACAAAACCGAACCGAACCGAAUUAAUUAAAUUAAAUUUUUUAUUUAAUUAUUUGUUUUGGGUAUUAUUUUCUAAACCCAAUUUGUAAGUUAAAAUGUGCUAAACCCAAUGUGUUGCCAAACUUUAAGCUCAAAAUAUUAAAAAAAGGCCUAUAAAAACUCUAAACCCUAACCUAUUAUUUCUCCCCCAUAUAAGGUUCCAGAAUCAAACCUCCUCCUGAAGUACCUACAUCCAUCUCCAUAGCACUAUCUACUUCUGCCCCAGCUUUCUUUUUCAAAUCUACUCUCAUAUAACAUGUAACAAAAUCCAUAAACAUUUAUUUCGGGUAGAUUACUUGGGUAAUUUGUGAUGGAAAAGAAUCCAACACACACUAAAUAAAUCCACCCACGCAUUACUUUUACUAAUCCAGUUGUCAACAUGCAGUUACAAGCAAACAACCCUGAUCUUUGAACAACAUCGUACAAUUUAACUUUUCUAAGUCAUUUGUACGAUUUUUGUGUUGUGAGGUUGUUAGUUUGGACUUUGGAAAACUUGAUUGAUGAUUUUAGUCCAACUUUAAAUGUUUAUUUUCAUUGUCUUUGAUUCUAGUUAGAAUGCUUAUAUUAUGAUUGUGUUGGAUAUGUUAAAAUUUAAAAUUUCAAUGUUUUUCAUUUUUUGAAAAAAUAAAAAACAAAAAACCGAAACCGAACCGGAAAAAACCGAACCGAAAAAAAACCGAACCGAACCUAACCGAAAUUUCGGUUUGGUUUCGGUUUUGGUAAAAAACCGAACCGAUUUAAACCGAACCCAUCCCUACUUCGGCCCAAUUCCUUCCCUCGUCCAUCCGGGACGGGGGGAUAGCAGACCCAAAUUCCCACCCUCAAACCCAAGGUCCCAUUUUCUCACCCCAAAAUACAUUCCUCAGAGAUGCUUUGGGCCCAAAUUUUGUGUUUUUUUUUCAACCCCUUGGAGACAGGCUUAUGUAUGGUUACUGUUUGGUAAUCGUUGCCUGAUUUGGGGUGAGAUUUGAAAAUGAUCGGUACACGGAGUGGUAUAUCGCGUGUCAUUAUAUAAAUGGUGAGAUAUGUGUUAAAAAAUUAAUAACUUAAAAAAUAAAAUUUCUCACAACACGUAGUGUACCCUCCUCGUGUUCCGGACACAAUAAAAAAAUUGUCCGAUCUGGGGCCAUUAGAUUGGACUUUACCGAGAUUGAAUAACACUUCACCGGGAACAUGUCAAACAAUAUCAGGCGGCAACUAUUUAGAAAGGAAUUGUUUGUGUUCUUUUCCGGUGGAAGAAAAAGGAAAAUCUUUCUCGAAACUCAACAACAUAAAGUGAAGUUUAGGUGGAAUUCGAUAAAUGUACACGGACGGACGGACGCACUCGAGUCUUGUCGAUCAAUCAGUGAACGUUGGUUGAGCCUCUGCGACUCGCAUAGUUGAGUUACUGAAGAAGAUGAUGCGGUGGGCAACAACUGCUGCUUGUUAUGGCAGCCGCAGACUCAGAGCCAGAGGUAUGCCGCCUUCUCUUGACUCCUCUGUUGUUAUUUUCGUCAACAAUUCCCUGGGUUUGUUUCAUUCUAAUCUUGAGGAUGCCCUCAAUGUGUUCGACGAAAUGCUUCAAAGGCGUCCUCUGCCUUCCGUUGUCCGCUUCAAUCAAAUAUUGGGUCAAGUUGCGAGAUUGAAACAUUUUAUUCCACAGUUAUCUCGUUGAAUAACCAAAUGGGUGUGUCAGGAAUUCGUCCUGAUGUUUAUACUCUGAACAUUAUCAUCAAUUGCUACGGUCAUCUCAACCAAAUGGGGUUUGGUUUGUCAUUCUUGGGAAAAUUCUUCAAAUUAAGUUUUGAACCUGAUGUCACGACCUUCAACACUCUAAUCAACGGCUUUCUUCUCGAGGAUAGAGAGGCUGAUGCUGUCGGGAUUCUGAAUAAAAUGAUGGAGAGUGUUAACUGGAAGCCUAAUGCGGUUACUUUUGCCAUACUAGUAAAGGGACUUUGCAUGAAAGGUAACAACAUUGGAGCUAUCCAAUUGCGUAAUAAGAUGGAAGAAGGAGAUUGCAAGCCUAACGUAGUUAACUUAUUUAUAGCACAAUCAUUGAUAGUCUUUGCAAGGAUACUUUAAUUAUUGAUGCAUUGAACCUCUUCUCCAAAAUGACAAGUAAAGGAUUUGCCCCAAAUGUCAUUACUUAUAACUGUUUGAUUCAUGGAGUUUGCAAAUUAGGGGAGUGGAAAGAAUGUAUAAGAUUGUUGAAUGAAAUGGUGAGUAAAGGUAUCUGUCCAAAUGUGCGCACCUUUAAUGUUGUGAUUGAUACAGUUUGUAAAGAGGGAAUGAUCCAAAAUCAAGGAGCGUGGUUGACAUGAUGAUUCAAGGAGAUAUUAAACCUGAUACAGUUACCAUACACUUAUGGAUGGCUACUGUUUGCUUGGAGAAAUGGGUCAGGCAAAAAAAGUUUUUGAACUGUUGCUUAGCAAAGGCUCCGUGAUUGAUGUUCGUAGCUAUAACAUACUGAUAAAUGGUUAUUGUAAGCAUAAAAUUAUUGAUGAUACCCUAAUGCUUUUUUUGGAAAUGUCUCAUAGGGGAGUGUUUCCAGAUACAGUUACUUAUAACACUCUUACGGAUGGGUUUUGCAAGAUGGGUAGAAUACAAGAUGCACAGACUUUGUUCUCUCAAAUGCAUGCUUGUGGCCAACUUCCAGAUGUUCAAACCUAUUCUAUUUUACUGGAUGGCCUGUGUGCAAACCAACAACUUCCCAAGUCAGUGGAAUUGUUAAGCGAGAUGGAGGGAAAGAAGUUGAAUCUUGAUGUCGUAACUUAUAGUAUUCUUAUUAAAGGUUUGUGCAAAGAUGGAAAAGUUGAGUAUGCAUGGGAAGUCUUUCGCAGUUUAUCAUCAAAAGGAUUUCAACAUAAUGCCAGGACAUAUACUAUAAUGAUUAGUGGACUUUGUAACGUGGGGAUAACAAGUGAAGCAGAAAACUUGCUUAGGGAAAUGAAAGAGAAAGGUUGUUCUCCAAAUGGUUGCACAUACAACACAAUUAUUCGCAGGUUUAUCAAAAACAGUGAGACAUCAAGGGCGAUGAGACUUAUUCAAGAAAUGGUGGAGGGGGGUCUUUCUGCAGAUGCAUUGCUUUGUUGCCAUUGAUAGAAAGGGCCCUGUGAAGUUCAUCUGUUUAUUUGGUAGCUGAAACAGAUCCUUAUGACCAUCACAAUGCAGUUUGAAACUGUUGCACUUUUGACAACUUUGGGUGCUUCCUUCCCUCAAAUGCUGGGUUGGAGGGAGUUCUCCCACUGACGAGUCCAGUUCAGGUAGCCAUUCGUUCACGCUCCGCCUGGAGAUGUAAGAUGUUAUUAAUUUAAUCCAUCAAGUGACAGAGCAACUUUUAUGUUACUGUUUAAGAUUGUGGUAUCUGUUGGAGGAGCCGAGUAUUUGGACUGAUAUGAUGAGAUGAAGUGCAACACUGCAUUCAUGGCUUGGUUUAAUUUCUGUUUAAUUUAGUUUUAAUAUUUUGUAUUUGGUAAUAUUUCAAAAGUGGCAAAUUGAUAAAUGUUAAGGUUUUCUACCGUGCAUUUUGUUAAAUUCCUUACUUUUUAGAGUGUUUUUCCGUUGACGGAUGUUGAUGUACGAUAUCUGUAUUCUUUAUGGUGAAUUGUAUAGUUUUAAGGCAGAUAAUCCGUUCUGCAUUUCAGAUGGUGUAUAUACAAUAAUACAGUUGAAAAGAAGUUUCCUUUUAAUCCUUCAAAUAAAUGUUGAGGAUAUUACCUUUCUCUCGUGCAGCAAGUAGUUAAAUAUCAAUUUAACAUAAGCUAAACCCCAAAAACUUCCACCACCAAGGCUGUCUUGCCAUCGAAAGUCACUAAUCUUGAGGAUGUCCUCAAUGUGUUCGACGAAAUGCUUCAAACGCGCCCUAUGCCUUCCGUUGGCCACUUCAAUCAAAUAUUGGGUCAAGUUGCGAGAUUGAAACAUUAUUCUGCAGUCAUCUCUUUGAAUAACCAAAUCUUUAUGUUCUAAACACCAUCAUUAAUUGUUGUUGCCAUUCGUACCAAAUGGGGUUUGGUUUGCCUGUUUUGGAAAAAUUCUUCAAAUUGGGUUUUGAACUAGAUGCCACGACCUUCAACACUAUAAUCUGCUACUUUUCAAUAAAAUGUUGGAGAGUGGUAAUUGCAAACCGGUUGUGAUUACUUUCAGCACCCAAGUAAAGGGACUUUGCAUCCAUCUAUACGUAUUUUCAGCUAUUCAUCUAUACGUAUGAGUUUAGUCAUUUUUCCCCCAACGGUAAGGGACUUAUAAUUCCCACUCCCAACUUUAUAAUUUGUUAAACUUUUGUAUUUCUUUGAUUUUUCUUUUGCUAAUAAUUUUGGAAUUAGUUUUUUAUUUUAUAAUUUAUCUUGUUUUAUUUUUACGAUUGUUUUGGUGUAAACAAAAUUCAAAUUCAGAAGAAAAAAAAAAGUGUUGAGAUAUUUUUAGUUGGAUGGGUAUUUAGUUCGUGAUGGACAAAAAGAUACCACCACUUCGCCUCUUUGUUGGACUGCCGGUGCGAACACAAUGGUCUCUGACCAAGGCCAGGAACCAAUUCGAAUUUGGAUCUUGACAUGUCGCUGGUUUUUUUUAACUUUUUUUUUUGUUCAAAAAAUCGUAAAAUCGAAAUGUCCUGUCGUAAGAAAAAAAAAUGGAAGAAAAAGAAUAACUAUUUUUUAUUUAACGUCUUUCAUCAUUAUGAUGACUUUAUCAUAUUCUAUCAUACUAAUUUCUACUCUAUCUUACCAAAGUUUAUUCUCCAGGGAACUCCAUUUAAACUAGUCCAACGGGUUCCUCCCAAUCUCUUUAUUUUAUGAUCUCAUUGGAAAACAUAUAAAGACAACUCUUAUUUAAUAUAGCUAUUUGUGCAAGUAUUUUACGAUUAAGAAGUAAUUGUCUCUUGUACACAUUGUGAAUAAAUUUACUAUAACUGAAGUAUACUUUAUUCUCAUGAAUUAUUGCAUUUGUUCGGGUGAUCCACAACGAACGAAAAUCUCUCUUUUGUCUGCCUCUACCCCAAUGAGCCUUUGGAGGAGUUUUGGUAUUGAAUCUUUUUGAAUCAAUUAAUAAUAUUAUUUGAUCGUUGGAUUUGAGCCGUUGUAUCCCGCUUUUAUAAAAAAAUAAAUUAAAUUUGAGUCGCUGGAUUUAAAAAAAUAACCGUACAACGAGAAAAAUUCCAGGCCACACAAUAAAGACCUGUUGGAGUAAAGUGUAGCCGGGGGCCACACAAUAAAGGCCUGUUGGAGUGAAGUGUACCCGCGUGCAAGCACUUGAGUCUUAUCGAUCGAUCGGUGAACGUUGGUUGGGACUCUGCGAUACGCAGCGCUGCUGAAGAAGAUGAUGUGGUGGGCAACAACUGCUGCUUGUUAUGGCAGCCGCAGACUUAGAGCCAUAGGUAUGUCGCCUCCUCUUCACUCCUCUGGUGUUGUUUUUGUAAACAGUUACUUGGGUUUGUUUCACUCUCGAGCUUCUAACUCAACCGAAUCUAGAAACACCCAACCACCCCAGUUUGUGAAAGACACCAAUCUUGAGGAUGCCCUCAAUGUGUUCGACGAAAUGCUUCAAAGGCGUCCUCUUGUCCGCUUCAAUCCGUUGUCCGCUUCAAAUAUUGGGUCACGUUGUGAGAUUGAAAUCAAUUCCCAACAUUCAUCAAAAGUCAUCAAACCAAUGGUUGUCAUCAAAAAUCAAAUGGGUGUGUCAUAAUGCCCAAAACGGAUUUAACCAAUUUUGUAUCAUGUCUGCUACUCUAAUCAUCAUCUCUCAAUCCAAUAUGGUUGUCAUGUUUUUCUCUGUCAUUUCCCAAAAUUGGUUCUUUCAAAUUUUGUUUGUCUGUCUUGAGGAAAAUUCUUAAAAUCUUGGGAAUUCUUUGAAUCUUCCGAAUGGAAACAGGAUCGAGUUAUGUUCGACAUGUGAAUCGAUGGCUUUCUUCUUGAGGAUAGAGAGGCUGAUGCUGUCGGGAUUCUGAACUGGAAGGCCCACUGUGGUUACUUGGCAUACUAAAGGGACUUUGCAUGAAAGCAACAUUGGAGCUAUCCAAUUGCUUAAUAAGAAGAAGGGCUUAAGAUGAAGAAGGGGUUGCAAGCCUGACGUUGUUAUUUAUAACAAUCAUUGACAGUCUUUGCAAGGACUAUCAUUGACUUUUGAAUGGAUUGUUUAAUUGUUGAUGCAUUGAACCUCUUCUCCGAAAUGACAAGUAAAGGAAUUGCCCCAGAUGUCAUUACUUAUAACUGUUUGAUUCAUGGAGUUUGCAAAUUAGGGGAGUGGAAAGAAUCUAUAAGAUUGUUGAAUGAAAUGGUGAGUAAAGGUAUCUUUCCAAAUGUGCG
rnacentral:lncRNA from 1 species